rnacentral:rRNA from 1 species
UACGUAGGGGGCAAGCGUUGUCCGGAAUCAUUGGGCGUAAAGCGCGUGUAGGCGGUCCGGUAAGUCCGCUGUGAAAGUCAGGGGCUCAACCCUCGGAUGCCGGUGGAUACUAUCAGUCUUGAAUACCGUGGAGGUCAGCGGAAUAUGUCAUGUAGCGGUGAAAUGCUUAGAUAUGACAUAGAACACCAAUUGCGAAGGCAGCUGGCUACACGAAUAUUGACACUGAGGCACGAAAGCGUGGGGAUCAAACAGG